rnacentral:rRNA from 1 species
CCGGAAACGGUGUCUAUACCGCAUGUGGUCUUCGGAUUAAAGACUUCGGCGCUUUGGGAGGCGGCCUGCGUAUGAUUAGUUUGUUGGUGAGGUAAUGGCUCACCAAGGCUUCGAUCAUUAGCUGGUCUGAGAGGAUGAUCAGCCAGACUGGGACUGAGAACGGCCCAGACUCCUACGGGAGGCAGCAGUAGGGAAUUUCCACAAUGGACGAAAGUCUGAUGGAGCAACGCCGCGUGCAGGAUGAAGGCUUUCGGGUCGUAAACUGCUUUUAUAUGUGACGAUUUUGACGGUAGCAUAUGAAUAAGGAUCGGCUAACUCCGUG